AAUGGAUUACUUCUGAUUGCUGCUUUGAGAGUAGAUUGUAGGGAAAAUCAGAAAUAAUCCAUUUA
ensembl:miRNA